ACUCUUGGUCACCUCCCACCCGUGUUUAUUGUACCUUGUUGCUUCGGUGCGCCCGCCUCACGGCCGCCGGGGGGCUUCUGCCCCCGGGUCCGCGCGCACCGGAGACACCAUUGAACUCUGUCUGAAGAUUGCAGUCUGAGCAUAAACUAAAUAAGUUAAAACUUUCAACAACGGAUCUCUUGGUUCCGGCAUCGAUGAAGAACGCAGCGAAAUGCGAUAACUAAUGUGAAUUGCAGAAUUCAGUGAAUCAUCGAGUCUUUGAACGCACAUUGCGCCCCCUGGUAUUCCGGGGGGCAUGCCUGUCCGAGCGUCAUUGCUGCCCUCAAGCACGGCUUGUGUGUUGGGCUCCGUCCCCCCGGGGACGGGUCCGAAAGGCAGCGGCGGCACCGAGUCCGGUCCUCGAGCGUAUGGGGCUUUGUCACCCGCUCUGUAGGCCCGGCCGGCGCCAGCCGACAACCAAUCAUCCUUUUUUCAGGUUGACCUCGGAUCAGGUAGGGAUACCCGCUGAACUUAAGCAUAUCAAUAA
rnacentral:rRNA from 1 species